GUGGCUGUGGCUCAGUAGUAGAGUACUCACCUCGCACGUGUGGGACCCUGGGUUCGAUUCUCAGCACCACA
rnacentral:tRNA from 1 species